rnacentral:rRNA from 1 species
CCUACGGGUGGCAGCAGUGGAGAAUAUUGGGCAAUGGGCGCAAGCCUGAUCCCGCAACGCCGCGUGUAGGCAGAAUGCUCUCGGGUUGUUAACUUCUUUUCAUAGGGUAGAGCAUUAGACGGUUACUAUUGCAUAAGCCACGGCGAACUAAGUGCCAGCAGCCGCGGUAAUGCGUAGGUGGCAAGCGGUCUCCGGAUAUCAUGGGUGGAAAGGGAGUGCAGGCGGGAAGUCAAGUCGGUUGUGAAAGCCCGCGGCUCAACCGCGGAACUGCAUGUGAUACUGAUUUUCUAGAGUAGCGUAGAGGGCAGCGGAAUUCCUGGUGUAGCGGAGAAAUGCGUAGAUAUAAGGAGGAACACCAGUGGCGAAGGUGGAUGACUGGACGGCAACUGACGGUGAGGCGCGAAAGCGUGGGGAGCAAACAGGAUUAGAUACCCGUGUAGUC